rnacentral:rRNA from 1 species
UACGAAGGGGGCUAGCGUUGCUCGGAAUUACUGGGCGUAAAGCGCACGUAGGCGGUCUUUUAAGUCGGGGGUGAAAUCCUGGAGCUCAACUCCAGAACUGCCUUCGAUACUGGAAGACUCGAGUCCGGGAGAGGUGAGUGGAACUGCGAGUGUAGAGGUGAAAAUUCGUAGAUAUUGCAAGAACACCAGUGGCGAAGGCGGCUCACUGGCCCGGUACUGACGCUGAGAC